rnacentral:rRNA from 1 species
AAUAGAUACCCCGGUAGUCCACGCCGUAAACGAUGAGUGCUAAGUGUUAGAGGGUUUCCGCCCUUUAGUGCUGCAGCUAACGCAUUAAGCACUCCGCCUGGGGAGUACGGUCGCAAGACUGAAACUCAAAGGAAUUGACGGGGGCCCGCACAAGCGGUGGAGCAUGUGGUUUAAUUCGAAGCAACGCGAAGAACCUUACCAGGUCUUGACAUCCUCUGACAACUCUAGAGAUAGAGCGUUCCCCUUCGGGGGACAGAGUGACAGGUGGUGCAUGGUUGUCGUCAGCUCGUGUCGUGAGAUGUUGGGUUAAGUCCCGCAACGAGCGCAACCCUUGAUCUUAGUUGCCAGCAUUAAGUUGGGCACUCUAAGGUGACUGCCGGUGACAAACCGGAGGAAGGUGGGGAUGACGUCAAAUCAUCAUGCCCCUUAUGACCUGGGCUACACACGUGCUACAAUGGAUGGUACAAAGGGCUGCAAGACCGCGAGGUCAAGCCAAUCCCAUAAAACCCAUCCUCAGUUCGGA